GGCAGCAAGAUCUCAAAGAGAUGCUCUUCCUCUUCUGCAUUCAAUAUUCAAAUUUCAAAAGAGGCUCCACCUAAAAAGGAAUGUAUGGACAAGCAUAUCUUCCCCUUUGAAGAUCAAAAUUCGUGCAUCCUUCCUAUUCAGAAACAAUCUGCGCGCUUUCCUCUUCUGAGAGCCAUCUGCGCGCCACCUUCCUUUUCUGCAACAACUUGGGCAGCAAGUUGCACAUGGGCAGC
rnacentral:lncRNA from 1 species